GGCUCAGUGGUGGAUGGCCCACACCUGCUCCAUAUAGGUCGAGGGGAAGUUCCACAGCAGGCAGAGUCUGUUCGAAUCAGGCCUGAGCCA